UUUCCGUAGGUGAACCUGCGGAAGGAUCAUUAUUGUAUAACCGAGGUGCGAGGGCUGUCGCUGACCCGACAGGUCGUGCACGCCCAAGUGCCCUCACACACAUCCAUCUCACCCCUAUGUGCACCACCGCGUGGGUCCCCCUUUGGCUUGUUCGGAGGGGGGCUUACGUUUUCACACAAACUUUGUAUGCAGUGUAGAAUGUAUUUUUUGUUUUUGCGAUCACGCAAUCAAUACAACUUUCAACAACGGAUCUCUUGGCUCUC
rnacentral:misc_RNA from 1 species